rnacentral:rRNA from 1 species
CGAGGGGCAGCAUUUUAGUUUGCUUGCAAACUGAAGAUGGCGACCGGCGCACGGGUGAGUAACACGUAUCCAACCUGCCGAUAACUCCGGAAUAGCCUUUCGAAAGAAAGAUUAAUACCGGAUGGCAUACGAAUAUCGCAUGAUAUUUUUAUUAAAGAAUUUCGGUUAUCGAUGGGGAUGCGUUCCAUUAGUUUGUUGGCGGGGUAACGGCCCACCAAGACUACGAUGGAUAGGGGUUCUGAGAGGAAGGUCCCCCACAUUGGAACUGAGACACGGUCCAAACUCCUACGGGAGGCAGCAGUGAGGAAUAUUGGUCAAUGGGCGAGAGCCUGAACCAGCCAAGUAGCGUGAAGGAUGAAGGCUCUAUGGGUCGUAAACUUCUUUUAUAUGGGAAUAAAGUUUUCCACGUGUGGAAUUUUGUAUGUACCAUAUGAAUAAGGAUCGGCUAACUCCGUGCCAGCAGCCGCGGUAAUACGGAGGAUCCGAGCGUUAUCCGGAUUUAUUGGGUUUAAAGGGAGCGUAGGUGGAUUGUUAAGUCAGUUGUGAAAGUUUGCGGCUCAACCGUAAAAUUGCAGUUGAAACUGGCAGUCUUGAGUACAGUAGAGGUGGGCGGAAUUCGUGGUGUAGCGGUGAAAUGCUUAGAUAUCACGAAGAACUCCGAUUGC